rnacentral:rRNA from 1 species
AUGCCAGAGCCACCAGCAGCAACAGCACCAACUGCAAGAGAGCAUGUACUUCCUCCCCAUCUCGAAUCACUAGUAAUAGGGGACUGUGCUGGCAUGUUGGGUGGGACUCUUUGUCUGCCUGCACCCCUCAAGAGAAUGUACAUUAUUGGCAACAGUGGAUUGACAUCGCUGGAGUGUCUGUCGGGAGAGCACCCCCCAUCGCUGGAAUUCCUUUUUCUUGAAAGAUGCAGUACCCUGGCAUCCCUGCCGAAUGAGCCGCACGUAUACAGUUCUCUCGGGUAUCUUGAAAUUAGAGGCUGCCCUGCUAUAAAGAAGCUCCCUAGAUGCCUGCAGCAGCAGCUGGGCAGCAUUGACGACAAAUAUCUAGAUGCCCGGUAUGAAGUGAUGGCACUUAAACCGGAGACAUGGAAGGAGAUACCAAGGCUAGUCCGUGAGCGGAGGAAGGCCGCUCAAGAAGCCAAGAUACUCUGGCAGUCCAUGCAUGAGUAG